UGUGGCAGAGGUGUUGGGAAGCCACAUGGACAAAAUGUAGUAUAGCACAUAAAACAAACGAGUAGCAUGCUGGACUGUGCUCCUACCAUCAUCACCAUAUGUACGGCAAUCCGUUCGUGCAGGUUCCACUUUUCAACAGGGGCCACCACACAAAUUACCCCUGUGAGAAGCAAUGUGGUGUUCUCGGUGUGCUCUCCAGCCACUUGGGAUUUGUGAGGUCCAACUGUCUGAAAAACAACAUACAUUUCGGGCCACAAUGGCUGAAGGAAAUUUUCAGAGCCACGGUAAAAAAAAGGUCAUGGCAGGUUCUUCAUCAACACACAGUCAAAGAUGAGCCAUCUCAGCAGGCGGUGUCAUCCAUGUUCCCACCAGGAGAUAAGAGGCACUGCACAUAAAAUGUGGCAGAUAAUCAUCUUCUCUUGCAUUGGCUCAGAAAAUUCAGUUGCCAUUUGGAAAUUCCAGACCCAACCCCCA